GGAGUGGUCGAAGGUGGGAUUGGCGAUUGGGACGAAGUCGUAACAAGGUAGCCGUACCGGAAGGUGCGGCUGGAUCACCUCCUUU
rnacentral:rRNA from 1 species